UCCUCCCAGCCUGUGAGCAGGCUGUUCCUUCUGCUGAGAUGAUCCUUGGUCCCUUAUUCUUCCAGUCUAGAUCUGCAGACAAGGAUUUGCCUGCCAGUGAUUUCUUUGGAAAAGUGUUCCUGCAAAGAAAAAUAAAGGAAAUCAUAAAAAUUUGAGAAAGAACGGAAAAAAGCCACUCACAGUCAUUGAUAAGUGGGUGAGUUCUGAGGGCAGAUGUGACUCAGUCCGGAGGAUUCUCACUCCUGGAACUUGGGACUUGGAUCUGGCAUUGGAGAACACAGGGACAUGGAUCCACUGACUCUGACCUUCUGUGGUUAAAGCUUUCUCUGGCAUCGACAACAAAACCAUUUGCUGGAAGAACACGGCCGGUUACCGGUUCACUUAUAAGCAAAGUGGCACUAAAAGACUAACUUCGGUACUUAAGAGGCAAAUGGUUUAUCCAAAGUCACCUGGCUGCUGAUCAUCCAAAUAAAGAUGAGAACAAAUGAUUAAUGGCUGUCAUAUUCUCAGCAAAUUCCACAUCAGUUGUCUUUGGAUAAUAGGAAACUGAAGUUUGAAUGAUCCUUAUAUUUUCUUGUAUUUCACAUGCUGGAGGAAGGUCUAUAACAAAAAUCAUGGACAUGGAGGAGUCUUACUUCCUACAUGGAUCACCUGAUGGUAUAUGAAAAAAAUCUUUGAGACUGAAAAUGUUGAGCCAAGGAUGCUCCAUGGCUGAUUGAAGAGCUGAGCCUGGACCACAUGCUUCCUGAAUUUCCCACACCCGAUCUGCUGAAUCAACCAAACUGCAAUGCAUGAAAUAGAAAACACACCAUUCAAAAAGAAGUGGGGCUUAAUCAGAAGAGAGUGAUUAUAGAAUUUUUUAUUGUCUCUAGGAAUGAUUUCUAGUUCUGUCAGUAUGGCUACGUUAGUUUCCUCUGGCUGGUCUACUCUUGUAGGCAAUAUGACAAAGACCCUUCAUUUCUGGGGGCACCCACAUCGGUGUUUGGAUUUCUCUCUACUGGCAACCAGGGUUGCAGCAGAUGCCUCAAAUGUAGCUCAACUUAGACAUUUUCUAACCGAACAUCAUGUCAGAUCCCAGUGACUGAGGGCGAGGUCCUAUGAGACUGUCCCCCACUUGAGAUACAAUCUUUCUCACUUACAGCAAUCUUUCUCAUCAUGUUGAAUUCAUUAGGACAAACUCAAGGUACCAGUGUACCCUCUUUUCUGAACACCUUUCCCAUGAUCACACCUGCCAAGUCCCUGUACUGCAUGAGGUAACUAUUGGUGCCUUCUGGAAGUAAAGCUUGGAUGAGUUGGAGCAGGAAGCACUAGCUAGCCUGUGUAUGUGAGCCACCAAAUCUUGCUCUCUCAUUACAGUGCAUUGACAAGUGCACGUUCUCCUCUAUGUUCCAAAAGAACUUGUGUAAAAUUUGUAUUAUUUCUCAAAAUGUUUAAUGCAAUUGUCAACAGAUCUUUGUGUAUGGAUACUAAUUUUCCAUUUCCUUAAUAUACUUUUUAUUUCUUCUUUGAAUCAUUUUGGUAGAUAGAGUCUCUCAAGGAUUUAUUUUAUCUGAAAC